CCAACCCUGAGGUAUUUGCCAGGCCGUCAGACCCCUGAGCCGAUGCUUUUAUACCCGGAACAAUCCAGUCGGGAUUUGUGUGCAUGUCCGCGCGACGGAAAGCCUGAAAAUCCCGCGGGGCGUUCCACCUUGAACCGCUGGGUUCAAGGGCCAAGCGGCCAGCGGUACCCCGGGGCCUUA
rnacentral:other from 1 species